AUUGAACGCUGGCGGCAGGCCUAACACAUGCAAGUCGAACGAGUGGCGGACGGGUGAGUAAUGUCUGGGACACUGCCUGAUGGCUGGGGAUAACUAAUGGAAACGGUAGCUAAUACCGCAUACCAUCGGAUGUGCCCAGAUGGGAUUAGCUAGUAGGUGGGGUAAAGGCUCACCAAGGCGACGAUCCCUAGCUGGUAGGAGCGGAUGACCAGCCACACUGGAACUGAGACACGGUCCAGACUCCUACGGGAGGCAGCAGUGGGGAAUAUUGCACAAUGGGCGCAAGCCUGAUGCAGCCAUGCCGCGUGUAUGAAGAAGGCCUUCGGGUUGUAAAGUACUUUCAGCGGGGAGGCGUUACCCGCAGAAGAAGCACCGGCUAACUCCGUGCCAGCAGCCGCGGUAAUUC
rnacentral:rRNA from 1 species